CAUUGUUAAGGGAGGAUUGCCAGGUUGUAAGUGAGGACUUCAUGUGACCAAGACUUUUGAGUUCCUGCUGGCUUCUCCAAUGACUCUACUAUUAGAAUCUGGGAGGAAACAUUGGCACUGUGGUAGCCAGAACUCAGGAACUUAAGAUUGGUCAAACUUCCAUUUACAGUGUAUUCAGAACUUCAAGCAGACAGAAGUUGGAGAAAAUGAAGAAUGCUUCAUUCGAGCAAACACAGUUCCCUUCAAUGCAAGAACCAUGGCCUCCACAUGACGGAUCAAUACACUGGCUGAUGGGUAUGUCACACUC